GGUUUCCUAGUGUAAUGGUUAUCACAGCGGAUUUUGAUUCCGCUAAUCUGGGUUCGAUUCCCGGGGAGACCU
rfam:Fungal sp. No.14919 DNA, contig: Contig0001.